AAAAAGGCAGUCUUACCAGGGUGCAAGUGUGUCCCUCCCCACCCCCAGGGACAUUUAGCAAUAUCUGAAGACAUUUGUCAUGACUAGGGGAGUUCUGAUGGGUGAAGGCUGGGGAUGCUAUUAAACAUCUAUAACGCACAGGACAGCCCACAGCAAAGAAUUAUCUGCCCCCAAAUCAAAAGUGCUUAGAUUGCAAAACUGCUACAAAGCAUCACUAAUGAAAUAAAAUACCAAAUAGUAUUUUCCAUUGUUUUUUAACUUUGGCUAAAGCCCCAAGGUGAGGCCACGAGGUCCCCUCAUGUUCUAAAGACUUAUGAAGGUAGAUGAGCUGCUUCUGUGACUUAUUCCUUUUCUGGAGCCUAUGUUCGUAGAAGAUUGGAAUUUAAGGAGAGAAGUCCUCAGAAUAAGGAGUACUUGGGGAGCUGAGUUGUGGCUUUACUUACCCUAUCCCGUCAGGGUAUACCACGAGAGGGAGGGGUCCCCAUCCCUGUGGCAAAUGAAGGGAGCAGAAAAGAGCCACUCAUUGAGUGGGUGUGGACACCUACAUAAUGGGGAGGCUCGUGCCUGGCAUCCUGGCUCAUGCUUGCCCAGCAGCAGAAACCCACUGCCCCACCUUGCCGCAGAGGGUGGGGAGGGAGUGCUGGGAGGGGCCUGGGCUACCGGCGGAGCAAGAUGGAUGUCUCUGCUUGACAGAGACCUCUGAGGACAGGGGCCCCUUGUGAAGGUAUAAGUGGGGAAGGAAAGGAAGAGAACUGCGUCCCACUGCCCUCCUCCAUGUACUUGGUUUGCCCAGGAUGUGGCAUUUUCUAUGAGCCAAAUGAAUUCCCUGGAAAAAAAACUGUUUUUAGAAUAUCCUGAAGGUACCAAGCCAAGAGAGUGCCCUCUCAAGGCAAGGGGACCCCCGCAGUAAGAGGCUGUGGAUUGAACUGCUAUGGGCAGGAACUAGGGGUCAAGCAGAACCUUCGCUGCCCAUAGCUGUUACAGUGCAGGACAGAGUUCCCCAUGGGCCCUCCUGAAGGCUCCCUGUAGGCACUGAGAAGAGCCACCUGUGGGUUCUUUCCACAUGGAAGGCAUCAACAGCACCACGGUCUUAAGAGCACUUCUCUCUCUUCUCAUCCUUCUUCCAGGGCCCAGUUCCCUGGUAGAGAGAGAGAAAGAAGACCCCAAAAAGGAAGGAGGGGGAAGAAGGUAAAGGCAGAGAGAAAGAAGUGACCAAGUACAAAAGUGCCAGAUCAGCCCUUCCCAAAUUUGCAGAGCCAGAUGUGGGCAUUCACAGAAAGCUGACCUUGCUCCCCUUAGGAGGAGCAAUGCUGAUGGCAGAUGGCCUGGUGGAAGGAGCAGGGGACAAGGAGUUAGAGGGCCUGUGGUCCUCUUCUGAUUAUGCAGCAGCUUGGUCCUUGGACUUCAGGAGUUUGCAGUCUGAUGGAGGAGUUGGCAUGAACAUGUUAUAGAGACUGCAGAAGUCUCAACCAGUGCAAAGUGAAGACGCACCUGAAGUCUUCAGUAGAGAAGGGUCUUAAAGAGGGCUUCCCUGGGGGAGAGGCACAAUGAUGUACGUACAAGAAUUAAUUAAACCAAUUAUAGUUUAUUCAUGUUGGAUAUUGUGAAGACAUGAAAAAUGAUGCCGUAGAACACUUCAUCGCCGUGGAAAAUUAUUUAUCAUGUGUUAAGUAGAAAUGUUAUGAUGUAUUGUGUAUAACAGGAGCCCAAUUUUAUAAAAAGGCAUGCUAAUGCUUAGGUACUAAUCAAAUAAAAUGUUGAUAUUUUAUGCACUAUAU